ensembl:lncRNA
UUUUUUUUUUUUUUUUUUUGCUGGGAACCCUUUCUCAAUAAAUCCCUUGCACAAAGAUCUCUGACUCAGGUUCUGCUUCUAUGCGGCUGACGACGACACGUCAUUUGCUUUCUUUCUUUAUAAAAUCAUGGGGUGUAAAGGGUCCCUCCAGGCAGGAGUCUGGCUUCCUCCUGGGUAGGAGUCUGCGCCAUUUUUGAAGCUUUCCAAGCAGCAUCCCCCUUCUCCACAUCACCGUGGACAACUAUCUUACCAUGUGCGCAGGAGGGCUCCAGAGGACACGUGAACAUGGAUGUUGCGAUCCCAGCUUCCCAAGUAGCUCUGGCCAUGUCAUGUCUGCAGGGCGACAUCAAUGGGAAAACCACAGGUUCGGCAGGCCAAAGUCUGAAUCCCACCUGUAUUUGUUUUCCAGGGCUGCAGUAACAACGUGUCACAAACUGGGUUACUUAAAAUGAUAGAAACGUGUUGCCUCACAGUUCUGGAGGCUGGAAGUCCAAAAUGAAGGUGUUGGCAGUGUCAUGCUCUCCCCAAAGCCUGUAGGUAAGGAAGAUCCUGCCUUCAAUCUUCCAGCUUCUGGUGUUUGCCAGGGAUUCUGGCUUCCCUAGCGAGUAGGAAUUGCAUCGCUGCUAUCUGCCCCGGUGUGUCUCCUCUCUUCUUCCUUCCUCCUCCUCCUCCUUCUCCUUCUAGACAGGGUCUCACUCUGUCACCCAGGCUGGAGUGCAGCAAUGCGAUCAAGGCUCACUGCAGCCUCCACUUCCCAGAUUUAAGUGAUCCUCCCACCUCAGCCUCUCAAGUAGCUGGGACUACAGAAGUAUGCCACCACACUUAACUUAAAAUUUUUUGUAGAGACAGGAUCUCACUACAUUGCCCAGACUUGUCUCGAGCUCCUGGGCUCAAGCAGUCCUCCCACCUUGGCCUCCAAAAGUGCUGGGAGUACAGAUGCAAGCCACUGCCUGGCCCCUUACUUUUUUUUUUUUUUUUUUGAGAUGGAGUUUUGCCCUUGUUGCCCUGGCUGGAGUGCAGUGGCAUGAUCUAAGCUCACCGUAACCUGUGCCUCCUGGGUUCAGACAAUUCUCCUGCCUCAGCCUCACAAGUAGCUGGGAUUACAGGCAUGCACCACCAUACCCAGCUAAUUUUUUUUUUUUGUAUUUUAGUAGAGAUGGGGUUUCAUUAUGUUGGUCAGGCUGGUCUCAAACUCCUAACCUCAGGUGAUCCACCUGCCUUGGCCUUCCAAAGUGCUGGGAUUACAGGCACAUGCCACCGUGCCCGGCUGGCCCCCCACUUCUUAUAAGGACACCAAUCAUCUUUGAUUAAAGGCUCCACUCACUCCAGUAUGAUCUCAUCUUAACUAACUGCGUCUGUAAUGACCCAGUUUCCAAAUAAGGUUAUAGUCUGAGACUUCAGCAUAGCUUUUUUGGGGGACGGAAUUCAACCCAUAUCAGCAUCUCUGCCAUUAGUUAGCAGUGGGAUGCCUCAAGUCAUGUAACCUCUGCUUCAGUUUUUUCAGCUGUAGGAAUGAGAAUACCAAGGUGAUACGGCUAGGGAGUGGAACAUGUGGGAUCGUGAACUUUCUGCUGUGGUACCUGGCCCAGGGAGCUAGAUGCACAUCAACAGCGAUGCUCUCCUUAGCAGCAUUCUCCUGGGUGCCCAAAGGCUAUCAUUACAGCCCCCUCAUCCUUCCCCCACCCCACCAAGCUUCCCCCACACUCACUGCUCUGUAGGAGAGCUUAGCUCUUCCCUAGAGACUAGUUUGUAUUAAUAAAAGACGGCCGGGCGCGGUGGCUCAAGCCUGUAAUCCCAGACUCCUUUGGGAGGCCGAGACGGGCAGAUCACGAGGUCAGGAGAUCGAGACCAUCCUGGCUAACACGGUGAAACCCCGUCUCUACUAAAAAUACAAAAAACUAGCCGCGCAAGGUGAGCCUGUAGCCCCAGCUACUCAGGAGGCUGAGGCAGGAGAAUGGCGUAAACCCGGGA